ACAGAAGAUUACAUUGACUACUACAAGGAAGUGACUGAGGAAAUCAUUCAUGUGACUGAGGUGUGGAGCGUCAUUCCUGGAGGGGACAAAUCAGAGAACCUCCUCCCCCAGACCUCCCCCUUCUCUGGGGCUGCUGUUGCUUCAUCUCUCUGCUCCUUGGAGCUGGAGCCCUUACAGGACUCCCAGGAUGCAGUGGAGCAACCAGAGAUCCUGACAUCCUGUGCCCUCACUGAGACCACCCAGGACCUGCUCUCUGAGCUCCACCAGACCUUUUGUUCUCUGGAGGAGCUGGGAAGUGCAGGGCCCAGUGGCCCAAGUACAGAGAGAGGCUCUACCCUGGAGGGGGAACUGGACAGUGGGGGCUCUGGGAGGAAUAUCCGGCCCUUCUCUCUCCAGGACUCCUCUCUGCUCAUCCCCCGUCGGAGGUCUGUACGCUCCAGACAGCUACAGGUCCCUGGAGUCCCUCUGUCCCGCAGGAACUCCAGCCGCAAUCCCCCAGCUCAGCACCUCCUCAGCCCCAGAGACAGGUUACCUGGAGGGGAGAAGGCCUUGCACAAGGAGGAGGCAGCAUGCUUCAGAUGCACCCCAGAGGAUAGGCUGGGUCACUGUAAGCUGGGCAGCUGGUGGAAACAAGCCCUGGAGACCCAAAGGGCAUUCUCUGGCCUACUACCUGCCAUAGAGCAGGUAUCCACCAUCUCAAAGAAAAGAGGGUCUCUCUCGUUCCUGGGCGACCCUACUCCAACAGUCUGGUCAGCAUCCAGGAGUCUCCAUCCAAGCAGAGAGGAGACAAGCAGGAGGUCAAAUAUGUAUGUAGAGGUCAUCUCUAUGUGGUCACUGGGCUUACAUGGAGGGUGUCAGUAUGGAGGGAAAUAUGCUCCGGUUGGCCAAUGGAGGGCGUUGUUGUCCAAGCUUGGAGGUUUUUAUUUUGUCUCUGAUUUGAAUAAUCUCACACCUACCCCCCCACGAGCCCAUCCCAGCAUGUAA
rnacentral:lncRNA from 1 species